CCACAAAGAUGAUGGAUUUGGAACUCUCUCUUCCUGACUGACAGUGGAGAAGACCUCACUGGCUGAGUGGC